CCUGGUUGGCUGGAGACUUCAGACUGGAAAGAACCUUCUCUGGAGCUGGCCAGGCCUUGCCCUGCAACUGCGGCCCAACGUUGUCCUGGCUCCCAGCAGCCCUGGUCCUCUCCCUGGGGCAUGGCGGCAUGCUUGCGUCUGCUUCCCGUGCUCUGAAACUUUCCAGGGUGCUCCCUGCAGGGUCCUCGCGGCUGGCGGCUGGUCCUCCCACCCGGGGACCCUCGUGUGGUCCCCCAGUGCUCGCCAUUCCUCUCCAUGUCCUCUGGAAGCUCCUGGGCCUGCGCACUAGGGACGCUCCUCAGAUUUCCUUCUCUUCUCCGCCUUCCUGGUGUCCAGCUCUGGUCACAUUCUACUCCCUGUCCCUUCCAGCCCAGGACUCGAUUUCCGAGACCACGUUUCAUGCUACUGCCCCUGAAUGCUUUUGUUUUCUGUUCUCUUGUCUUUGUUCGUGUUCUGUGGAUGUGGUGUCUCCCCUCCAAGGAUUCUAAGGCCAGUCUUGGCUUCCAUGGCAACUCCCAGAAGUCUGCCUCCGAGCGGUGAGCACCUUCCUAGGUACCUGCAACUCCUGACCUUCUGCUCUGGCCAAGGGUGAGGGUGUGAAGCUGGUGGAAGGUCUGGGGACUCGGCGGGCUGGCACCAUCAACACCACUGUUGAGGAUCUCAGGGCACUGUGUGUUGGGGUGCCCCACUGUCAGCUCCCUCUGGGCAGAUGGACCCUGAAGGAGGUCCCCCAUCUCUGCCGGGGGGUAAAGUGUGGUGGAUUCUGACGUCUAACAGUCCAGUCACUGCACACGGUCUCCUGCCCAGGCCCGAGCACGUUUCCUCUUGCACCCCGCCUCCAGCUCUGUGCUUUCCAAGGACUCAGCACCUACAAGGCCCAGAUCCCGCCACUUCAUCUGGGGGGCUGCCUGCUCCAGACGAAGCCCGGCCCCUGGGAAAGGCUCAGGCUGCCACCGUCCCCCUGGGAGCUCGGACAAGCGUCCCCAGGUGGACUCUAGGACCAGAAAGGGGUGGCCACGUGGUGGCUGCGAGCCCCAACCAGCCUCGCCUGUCACAACUCAGCUAGUUGAGAUUCUGCAAAACCAGCGGUGCUCAGCCCGCUUGCUCCCCAACAUACCCGAUGCUAAGCAAGAAGCCAAGCACCCACAUGAAUGCCAAGGGCAGGUUCCUCCUCAGACCCUCACCUGAGAGCACGAUGGAGAAGGGCUGCCUCUGCCCCCGCCGCCCACUCACAGCCUGGCG